CUCUACGUUUUGUGCAUUUCGAGGUAGGAUGAGGCGAAUCUCUGUGUUUUUUUGCAUUUGGGAUCAUUAUUAGGAGAAUCUCUACGUUUUUGUGCAUUUCGAGGUAGGAUUAGGCGAAUCUCUGUUUUUUUUUGCAUUUGGGAUCAUUAUUAGGAGAAUCUACGUUUUUGUGCAUUUCGAGGUAGGAUUAGUCGAAGGUCUGGGUUUUGGAUUAUGAUUAGUCGAAUCUCUGUGUUUUUUUUUUGCAUUUGGGAUCAUUAUUAGGAGAAUCUACGUUUUUGUGCAUUUCGAGGUAGGAUUAGGCGAAUCUCUGUGUUUUUUUUUGCAUUUGGGAUCAUUAUUAGGAGAAUCUCUACGUUUUGUGCAUUUGGGCUUAUGAUUAGGCGAAUCUCUGUGUUUUUUUUUUGCAUUUGGGAUCAUUAUUAGGAGAAUCUCUACGUUUUUGUGCAUUUCGAGGUAGGAUGAGGCGAAUCUCUACGUUUUGUGCAUUUCGAAGUAGGAUGAGGCGAAUCUCUACGUUUUGUGCAUUUGGGAUUAGGC
rnacentral:lncRNA from 1 species